AGUACGGCGAGUGAGCGGCAAGAGCUCAAAAUUUGAAAUCUGGCCUCCCCCGGGGGUCCGAGUUGUAAUUUGCAGAGGAUGCUUCGGGCGCGGCCCCCGUCUAAGUUCCUUGGAACAGGACGUCAGAGAGGGUGAGAAUCCCGUCUUGGGCGGGCGGCCCGCGCCCGUGUGAAGCUCCUUCGACGAGUCGAGUUGUUUGGGAAUGCAGCUCUAAGCGGGUGGUAAAUUUCAUCUAAAGCUAAAUACCGGCCGGAGACCGAUAGCGCACAAGUAGAGUGAUCGAAAGGUUAAAAGCACCUUGAAAAGGGAGUUAAACAGCACGUGAAAUUGUUGAAAGGGAAGCGCUUGCGGCCAGACUCGGGGGGCGGGGUUCAGCGGGCGCUCGUCGCCCGUGCACUGCCCGCUCCCCGGGCCAGCAUCAGCUUCGACGGCCGGUCAAAGGCCCCCGGAAUGUGUCGUCUCUAGGGACGUCUUAUAGCCGGGGGUGCAAUGCGGCCCGUCGAGACUGAGGAACGCGCUCCGGCUCGGAUGCUGGCGUAAUGGCCGUAAGCGGCCCGUCUUUGAAACACGGACCAUUA
rnacentral:rRNA from 1 species